GUCCCUGUUGCGCAAUGGAUAGCUCAUUGGAUUUCUAAUCCUAAGAUCGUGGGUUGAAAUCCUACCUGGGAUG